UACGUAGGGUGCAAGCGUUGUCCGGAAUUAUUGGGCGUAAAGAGCUCGUAGGCGGUUUGUCGCGUCUGCUGUGAAAACUCGGGGCUUAACUCCGGGCCUGCAGUGGGUACGGGCAGACUAGAGUGCGGUAGGGGAGACUGGAAUUCCUGGUGUAGCGGUGAAAUGCGCAGAUAUCAGGAGGAACACCGGUGGCGAAGGCAGGUCUCUGGGCCGUAACUGACGCUGAGGAGCGAAAGCGUGGGGAGCGAACAGG
rnacentral:rRNA from 1 species